rnacentral:sRNA from 21 species
CGUGCAGACUAAGACUUUAAAGGUCUACGAUUUUUGGGUCAUGACACCUUGAUGUGAACGCCAGCAUCAAGCUCUGUC